ACGGGCAGAGUGGGCCCAUCGAAGGGCAACGCACCGCACACCAGCACGUAAAGUACCACCCCCAUGCUCUGCAAAACAAGAUUAGCCAGAUGUCCAGCUGCGGUCCCUCAUACUGCUGUCCCUCGAAGACUUCUGGAGCGGCAUAAGGCGGGCUGCCGCACCAGGUGGCCAGAGGCUCCCCCGGCUGGAAGAAGUUCGCAAACCCAAAAUCUACACCAGGUCAAAAGAGCAGAGGUGAGAAGUUUAGAGGUAAUUUCAAAACAACCUCAUUUAGCACAUAGUGUCAAAAGAUGUUAUUUCUGCAAAAGAAACCACGUAAACAACUAUUGCAACAACCAACAUGCAGAAAAAAGCUGUUUCAUCAAGUAUCUAUGUGGAGGUUUUGCAUAAUACAGUUUGCAGUCCACAUUUUUGCACAUUGAGGAAAUAGGCCUUUGUAUGAAGCAACCUCCCUUUGAGACUGACAUUAGGUCACUCAUACGGGCUCUUAUUGGUCGUGUGCAGAAUGAACUGAAAUUUCAUUUUCCGUCUACAGAGGAGAGAGAAGACGGCAACUAAUAUAAAUAAAUACGCCAAUACAGUCACGUCUGCCUUUUGUUAAAAUCCAGUCAAACGAUCCAAAUCUCUCUGCAGCAACGUUGGCUUCUCUUCGUCACGAUUUUACCCUUUUGCAUCUUCUCUCCCAUUUAUGCAAAUUAGAUAUUUUAUCAACUACUAAUAAUAUAGUUAAUCCCUUUUAACUUUUAAUAGUUGCAUAUUUGUAUUUUAAGAUAUAUAGCCCUUUAAAAAAA